rnacentral:rRNA from 1 species
AGCGAACGCUGGCGGCAGGCUUAACACAUGCAAGUCGAGCGGGCACUUCGGUGUCAGCGGCAGACGGGUGAGUAACACGUGGGAACGUACCCUUUGGUUCGGAAUAACGCUGGGAAACUAGCGCUAAUACCGGAUACGCCCUUUUGGGGAAAGGCUUGCUGCCGAAGGAUCGGCCCGCGUCUGAUUAGCUAGUUGGUGGGGUAAUGGCCUACCAAGGCGACGAUCAGUAGCUGGUCUGAGAGGAUGAUCAGCCACACUGGGACUGAGACACGGCCCAGACUCCUACGGGAGGCAGCAGUGGGGAAUAUUGGACAAUGGGCGCAAGCCUGAUCCAGCCAUGCCGCGUGAGUGAUGAAGGCCUUAGGGUUGUAAAGCUCUUUUGUCCGGGAUGAUAAUGACGGUACCGGAAGAAUAAGCCCCGGCUAACUUCGUG